rnacentral:rRNA from 1 species
CCUACGGGUGGCAGCAGUGGGGAAUAUUGGACAAUGGGCGAAAGCCUGAUCCAGCCAUGCCGCGUGUGUGAAGAAGGCCUUCGGGUUGUAAAGCACUUUCAGUGGGGAAGAAAGCCUUGGGGCUAAUACCCUCGAGGAAGGACAUCACCCACAGAAGAAGCACCGGCUAACUCCGUGCCAGCAGCCGCGGUAAUACGGGGGGUGCGAGCGUUAAUCGGAAUUACUGGGCGUAAAGCGCGCGUAGGCGGUCUGAUAAGCCGGUUGUGAAAGCCCCGGGCUCAACCUGGGAACGGCAUCCGGAACUGUCAGGCUAGAGUGCAGGAGAGGAAGGUAGAAUUCCCGGUGUAGCAGUGAAAUGCGUAGAGAUCGGGAGGAAUACCAGUGGCGAAGGCGGCCUUCUGGACUGACACUGACGCUGAGGUGCGAAAGCGUGGGUAGCAAACAGGAUUAGAUACCCCAGUAGUC